rnacentral:rRNA from 1 species
GUGAGGAAUAUUGGACAAUGGGCGCAAGCCUGAUCCAGCCAUGCCGCGUGCAGGAAGACGCAUCUAUGGUGUGUAAACUGCUUUUGUACGGGAAGAAACACUCCCUCGUGAGGGAGCUUGACGGUACCGUAAGAAUAAGGAUCGGCUAACUCCGUGCCAGCAGCCGCGGUAAUACGGAGGAUCCAAGCGUUAUCCGGAAUCAUUGGGUUUAAAGGGUCCGUAGGCGGUUUAAUAAGUCAGUGGUGAAAGCCCAUCGCUCAACGAUGGAAUGGCCAUUGAUACUGUUAGACUUGAAUUACAAGGAAGUAACUAGAAUAUGUAGUGUAGCGGUGAAAUGCUUAGAUAUUACAUGGAAUACCAAUUGCGAAGGCAGGUUACUACUUGUGGAUUGACGCUGAUGGACGAAAGCGUGGGGAGCGAACAGGAUUAGAUACCCCAGUAGUCC